rnacentral:rRNA from 2 species
AGGACGAACGCUGGCGGCGUGCCUAAUACAUGCAAGUCGAACGAACUCUGGUAUUGAUUGGUGCUUGCAUCAUGAUUUACAUUUGAGUGAGUGGCGAACUGGUGAGUAACACGUGGGAAACCUGCCCAGAAGCGGGGGAUAACACCUGGAAACAGAUGCUAAUACCGCAUAACAACUUGGACCGCAUGGUCCGAGUUUGAAAGAUGGCUUCGGCUAUCACUUUUGGAUGGUCCCGCGGCGUAUUAGCUAGAUGGUGGGGUAACGGCUCACCAUGGCAAUGAUACGUAGCCGACCUGAGAGGGUAAUCGGCCACAUUGGGACUGAGACACGGCCCAAACUCCUACGGGAGGCAGCAGUAGGGAAUCUUCCACAAUGGACGAAAGUCUGAUGGAGCAACGCCGCGUGAGUGAAGAAGGGUUUCGGCUCGUAAAACUCUGUUGUUAAAGAAGAACAUAUCUGAGAGUAACUGUUCAGGUAUUGACGGUAUUUAACCAGAAAGCCACGGCUAACUACGUGCCAGCAGCCGCGGUAAUACGUAGGUGGCAAGCGUUGUCCGGAUUUAUUGGGCGUAAAGCGAGCGCAGGCGGUUUUUUAAGUCUGAUGUGAAAGCCUUCGGCUCAACCGAAGAAGUGCAUCGGAAACUGGGAAACUUGAGUGCAGAAGAGGACAGUGGAACUCCAUGUGUAGCGGUGAAAUGCGUAGAUAUAUGGAAGAACACCAGUGGCGAAGGCGGCUGUCUGGUCUGUAACUGACGCUGAGGCUCGAAAGUAUGGGUAGCAAACAGGAUUAGAUACCCUGGUAGUCCAUACCGUAAACGAUGAAUGCUAAGUGUUGGAGGGUUUCCGCCCUUCAGUGCUGCAGCUAACGCAUUAAGCAUUCCGCCUGGGGAGUACGGCCGCAAGGCUGAAACUCAAAGGAAUUGACGGGGGCCCGCACAAGCGGUGGAGCAUGUGGUUUAAUUCGAAGCUACGCGAAGAACCUUACCAGGUCUUGACAUACUAUGCAAAUCUAAGAGAUUAGACGUUCCCUUCGGGGACAUGGAUACAGGUGGUGCAUGGUUGUCGUCAGCUCGUGUCGUGAGAUGUUGGGUUAAGUCCCGCAACGAGCGCAACCCUUAUUAUCAGUUGCCAGCAUUAAGUUGGGCACUCUGGUGAGACUGCCGGUGACAAACCGGAGGAAGGUGGGGAUGACGUCAAAUCAUCAUGCCCCUUAUGACCUGGGCUACACACGUGCUACAAUGGAUGGUACAACGAGUUGCGAACUCGCGAGAGUAAGCUAAUCUCUUAAAGCCAUUCUCAGUUCGGAUUGUAGGCUGCAACUCGCCUACAUGAAGUCGGAAUCGCUAGUAAUCGCGGAUCAGCAUGCCGCGGUGAAUACGUUCCCGGGCCUUGUACACACCGCCCGUCACACCAUGAGAGUUUGUAACACCCAAAGUCGGUGGGGUAACCUUUUAGGAACCAGCCGCCU